UGACAUGUAAGUGAUCUGGUUGUGAUAUCAGUCACCCUAUUGAUUGUCACGGUUAAGUCUGUUGAUAUGUUUAGAUAAGUGGUAGACCCUUCUCUUAUUGCUCCAUGCCUACCCUCUCAAUGCACAAGCUUUGUUGAAGAAUAUCUUCUUAUCUGAGCAGAGGACAAUUCGAUUCUUUAGAGUGAGAGUAGCUUUAAAAUAAUUCAAUGUACAAAGCGAUUAGGCAUGUAUAGAAUGCAUUUCAUUAUUUUUCAAUACAAAGAAUCUAAAUAUGGUGAUUCUUU
rnacentral:snRNA from 1 species